rnacentral:rRNA from 1 species
UACGGAGGGUGCAAGCGUUGCUCGGAAUUAUUGGGCGUAAAGGGUAGGUAGGUGGUCUCAUUUGUCUGGGGUGAAAGCCUUGAGCUUAACUCAAGAAGUGCCUCAGAAACGGUGAGACUGGAGUCUUGGAGAGGGUCGUGGAAUUCCCGGUGUAGCGGUGAAAUGCGUAGAGAUCGGGAGGAACACCAGAGGCGAAAGCGGCGACCUGGACAAGUACUGACACUCAACUACGAAA